rnacentral:rRNA from 1 species
GAUGAACGCUGGCGGCGUGCCUAAUACAUGCAAGUCGAGCGAACGGACGAGAAGCUUUCUCCUCUGAUGUUAGCGGCGGUCGGGUGAGGAACAUGGGGAUAACCUACCUAUAAGACUGGGAUAAUUUCGGGAAACCGGAUCUAAUACCGGAUGAUAUUUUGAACCGCAUUGUUCAAAAGUGAAAGACGGUCUUGCUUUCACUUAUAGAUGGAUCCGCGCUGCAUUAGCUAGUUGGUAAGGUAACGGCUUACCCAGGCAACGAUGCAUAACCGACCUGAGAGGGUGAUCGGCCACACUAGAACUGAGACACGGUCCAGACUCCUACGGGAGGAAGCAGUAGGGAAUCUUCCGCAAUGGGCGAAAGCCUGACGGAGCAACGCCGCGUGAGUGAUGAAGGUCUUCGGAUCGUAAAACUAUGUUAUUAGGGAAGAACAUAUGUGUAAGUAACUGUGAACAUCUUGACGGUACCUAAUCAAAAAGCCACGGCUAACUACGUG